GUACGAGAGUCUGGUUGUCGUACA
rnacentral:siRNA from 1 species